UUUUUUCCAAACUAUUUUUUAUUUAUCAAUUUAAUAAAAAAAACUAUAUUUUUUAUUUUUAAUUAUUUAAAAGAUCAAUCCAAAAAUCUGCGUGACCGACGAGAUGAGUUGGGUCUAUUUUACAAAUAAUCUCCUAGAAUUUAAUUUUUGAAAAAUUAAACAUUACUUUAUUUAAUUUCUAUCUUUUGUAACAUUGGUUAACAAGACUAUUUAAGACCGAAAAACUAGGUUCACAAAAG
rnacentral:lncRNA from 1 species